GGUAUUUUUACACAGCAAAGGGAAAUAAUCGAUCUGAAUCCAUUCAGUGUUUAAAUGUCGCCGCGUAAGGACUUGAACAUCAUUCAUUUAUAAAGAUCGCAUUGGCACACCCCGUUAACAUUUAUUGAUCUCUGUAAAACUUGGCAUAUUUAUUCUUGAAAAGCUCCUGAAUACCAAAAUUGUUGUUUCUUGUUUUUAAAAUGAAUACAACUCUUUAAAAUCGACAUAAUAGUUGACUUUUGGUGUGACCACGGUUGGAUUGUAUGACACUUCUGUUAUUUUUUAUUAUAAAAUGGCAAAUUUAAAAGGAAGAAACAGCUGUUACGGGAAAGAUAACAUCUUUAUCAACAAAAAACAACUUUAUUUUCAUUAAUUUGUGUAGUUCUUUGGGUGCGCCAGGCUCUUGAAGUUGUCCGUUCACACGCCAUCUUUGAAUGAUGCCCGUUACCAUGGUAACCAG
rnacentral:lncRNA from 1 species